CAGGAGGCGCGCGGGAAGGUUGAGGCGGCGGGCGGCGCUCUGCGUAUGCUCAGAGGCAUUCCUUGCUUCCAGUGAUAAGGGCGCCAGCCGCCUCUUUCGCUCGCCCGGCAACUCGCCCCCCCUCCACGUCCCUGUCCUGGUGCCUCUGUUUCCAUCCAUGAUAAUUUUAGGUUAUAUGUUAGUGACUAAGUUUUAAUUUUUAUAUUUUUUACUGUUGCUAUAUCUGUAUUGUCUCUGUUAUACCUAAUUGCGAAUUUAAAUGCAUCCCUAUCAUGUUUUAUGACUUCCUUGAUAUUGUAUGUGGGCUGGAACUGGUCUGUGACCGAAAUAAUAAAAUUCAUUUAUUCAUCCAGAAUGUGGCGGAGGUCCAAAGGAGCCCCGUGGGGUUCAUCCUGAAACAGAGCAGCGGCUGAGAGAGGGGGCUCUGAGAGCGGGUAUUCAUUCUGCCACAGCUUCUCUUGAACCGGGGGGGGGGGCCUCAGUGCUCGCUCCCCCCAUGUUGGUGAACUGCAACCCCACACAGCCCCACAGCUUCCCCCAGAGAAUCCCAAGAAGGGUACUUCUGGGAUGGGGUAAACUAGAGUUCCCAUCUGAAGCUGAGGCUCCAAUACUUUGGCCACCUCAUGAGAAGAGAAGACUCCCUGGAAAAGACCCUGAUGUUGGGAAAGAUGGAGGGCAGAAGGAGAAGGGGACGACAGAGGACAAGAUGGUGGGACAGUGUUCUCGAAGCUAUGAACAGGAGUUUGACCAAACUGCGGGAGGCAGUGGAAGACAGAAGUGCCUGGCGUGCUCUGGUCCAGGGGGUCACAAAGAGUCGGACACGAGUAAACGACUAAACAACAACAACAACAUAGUUCCCAGGUUUCUUUGGGGGAAGUCAUGUGUGGAUGUACCAGCAUAGUCAGGGAUCGGGGCGAUGGGAGUUGUCGUCCACCAACACUUGCACUCCUUCCCCACACCUGCCUGUUCAAUUUAUCAGUUAGUUGGUGGGAAUUUUUCCAUAUUUUUUUGAGGUGGGGUGGGGGAAGCACCCUUUUGAAAAGGGUUUGGCUGGAAGGAAGGUUCAGCUGCUGAAAGGUGGUUUGGAGGGCUGAGUCUGGCCCUCCCCCUUGGCCAAGCAUGACUCAGCUGCUAAGGAGGAGGAGGAGGAGAUCCCGGCCCACCCUGAGCUGGGACAGCCCUUUCUGCAUGGCCAGGCAAUCUGGUGCCUCCACCCUCCACGGAUAAUGAAGGAUAGCUGCCUGCUGUCAUCCUCAUUUCAAGGGUUGCUAGGUUUCCGGGUUUCUACCGGCUGGGCUGGUUACACUGGUUGUUCCUCAGCUGCCUCUGAUAGUUGGUGGGAGAAGUUUCUCAUCGUCUUUGCAGGAUGUCACCCUCUCCAUGGCCCAGUACAGCCCUGGGAGGGAAUUCCAGCAAAAGAGGAGCCCUGCAGGAUCAGGCCAUGGAGCCCAGCCUCCCACUUCCUGCAGGUGCCUCUGGGAAGCCCAGAAAGGGAAUAAAAGCAUGGGCUCUCCCUUCCUGCUGCCCUCCAGCAUCUGUCAUUUGGAGGUAGACUGCCCUUGAAAGUGGAGGUCCUACACAGCCAUCAAAAGGCUGCUGCUUUUUUCUCCUUGGAUUUCCCCCUUCUAAAGCAACCUGAGCUAGUGGCCAUCUCCACUUCAUGUGGCAAUGAGUUCGGUUACAUGCUGUGUGAAGGACUUCCUUUUAUCUGUUUUGAAUCUCUGGCUCAGGAACUUUUUACAGUCUAAGGGCUGCACACAUGUGGGGAGCAGGGGCCAGAAGUAAAAUGGGCAUUUCUGCACGUAUAUGCACCCCUCCUGUCCAGUGCCAUCAAGAGACGUGACCAGAGUUCAUGGGCAGAGUCCAGUCAGGCAAAGCACCAAAGGAGGGCCCAAAGCAGGGCAGGGAGUUGUGGACUGGGAAGAGGGUGUGUGAUCUGAGGGAAGUUUAGGGGGCCAGAGAGUGAGAGAGGCUUGGAGGGCAGCAGUUGACCCCUGGGACUGAGGUUCCUGCCCACUGCUCUACCUGAUCAAUUUCACAAGGUGACCUUGAAUUUUUUUUAAAAAUGAUUUUCUUGCCUUACAAAAAUAUGUGCAUUGUCUCAGGUUGUAGAGUCUUUUCUACAGAGCGGUUACAUUUGAUGUGAGACAGUGUAUACAGGAUAAGGUUGGGGAAGAAGAGGGGGAGAGGGGUGGGGUGGUAAAACUUAUAUUCUUUUACUAAGUGUAUGUGUGGGGGGGUGUCUUUGUGUCAGCAUCACUUGAGUAGGUUCUCUUUCUGUUUGUUAUAUUCCCUUGGUGGUAAGGCCCUGGGGCCGUGUGUGAUUGGUUGUCUUUAGUUGGCUGCAGUGAGAUUUGUUUAUGUGAGCGGGGAGGGAUUGUUGGGUCAAGUUAGCCAUAUUAAUGUGUAUGUAAUAAAGGGGAGCCGUUCCAGGGUGAAGGCAUCCUCGUUUAUUUGUUCCCGUGUCAGUUUCAGUUUAUUGGUUAACUUUUAUGGUAAGGCUUUUCCCAAUACGAUUUUGUAUUGGUCCAUGUUUAUACUCCUGACAGGUCCAUCUGGCUAUGAGGUUUCUGGCUGCUGAGAGUAAGCUCUUUAUAAUGUGUGUGGUCAUUAUGGCCUUAUGGUUUAGACCACAUUCUAGUCCAUUGGGUGGGGUUAACUUCGUAACCUAUGUUUAUGUCAUCAGCAUUAUUGUUUUUUGAUUAUGUCACGGGGGUUUGUGGGGUUUUGGAGCAGUAUUUUGUCAUCUCCUUGCUGUGUCCUUUUGCUCUUAGGAGGAGGUUUUCAAAGGUGGUCAAGGGCAUAUUGGCUGCUGGUUUUACUUUUGGUUUGUUUAAGGCGGCGUGCAGUUGUUGGUGUGUUAGCCAGGGCAUUUGGGUGUCACCUAGUUUGCAUUUUAUUUCUUGUGUCAAUAUGGGUUUGUUAUUUUUGUAGAAAUUUGCUAGGUGAGGUUACCUUGAAUUUUAAUAUUCUGGAAGAAAUCUCAGGAGAUCCUUCAGGGAUGCCCCUUUUUGCAGCCGCCUUCUGUGCAAAGAGGAGGCAUUUAUUCCUACUCUUGGUUUUCUUCUGUUUCAGCCGGUGACCAAUCUGUUUAGAGGAAUCCACCCUCUUAUCCCAUGACGGCUGAGUUUACUUUCUGUUCCUGCGAACCCUCUGAGGAACUUACGCCCACAGAACAAAAGAG